rnacentral:rRNA from 1 species
UCUCCUGGGAAACGGGUGGUAAUGCCGGAUGCUCCAGUUGAUCGCAUGGUCUUCUGGGAAAGCCUUUGCGGCAUGGGAUGGGGUCGCGUCCUAUCAGCUUGAUGGCGGGGUAACGGCCCACCAUGGCUUCGACGGGUAGCCGGCCUGAGAGGGCGACCGGCCACAUUGGGACUGAGAUACGGCCCAGACUCCUACGGGAGGCAGCAGUGGGGAAUAUUGCACAAUGGGCGCAAGCCUGAUGCAGCGACGCCGCGUGAGGGAUGGAGGCCUUCGGGUUGUAAACCUCUUUUGUUAGGGAGCAAGGCAUUUUGUGUUGAGUGUACCUUUCGAAUAAGCACCGGCUAACUACGUGCCAGCAGCCGCGGUAAUACGUAGGGUGCAAGCGUUAUCCGGAAUUAUUGGGCGUAAAGGGCUCGUAGGCGGUUCGUCGCGUCCGGUGUGAAAGUCCAUCGCUUAACGGUGGAUCCGCGCCGGGUACGGGCGGGCUUGAGUGCGGUAGGGGAGACUGGAAUUCCCGGUGUAACGGUGGAAUGUGUAGAUAUCGGGAAGAACACCA